rnacentral:misc_RNA from 1 species
AUUAAUUUAGGAAGCUUUCCAACUCUAUCUAGAAUUUAUUUAUGUUUUCCUAUUAUAUCUAGGAUUAGGUUAAUUCCCUACUUCAUCUAUAUUUUACUAAUGUAUUUAGGCUUAAUUAAACUUCCUAUCUAGUAGAGUUAUUUUUCUAUUAGGUUUAGAAACCUAAAAACUCUAUAAACACACUAAAAUCUUUAUAUUUCAGUUUAACUUUUCAGCAAUAAAAUUCCAGCAGAGUAUAUUCUCUCCAUUUUCGCUCGUAUGGAGUGUGUUCUAUUUGAGCUGCACACUGCAUCACCGAUAGCCUUCUAUUUUGUCCACAAAGCCCUAUACACCUUCCAGCCUGUAUCAAUAAAGAACGACACCCCAGCCCAUUUCAACGGCCUUCUUUAAACCUAAACCUAAAACAUAAGAUUUCGUUUCCCCUAUGCCAUCUGCCUCUGCACUUAUACCACCCCCCACCCCCUUUCCUUCCUUCGCAUCGACAUUGUUGCUCCCUAAAAUUGAGCCACCACCUUUCCCUCCCUUCAGCUUCCGUCGGUCCGUCAUUUCCUUCCUUGGAGCCAUAAUCAUUGGUUAACCUUGAGCCAAUGUUGUUGCUUCUCCGCUCUCUGCCUCUCCUUGUGCCUGUGACGCUGUUCAGAUUCUUUAUCUCCUUCCUCGUUUUUCUGCCUUGAUGACGAGAUGUCGCAGCCUCUAGCCUCUUCCUCAACCUCAACCUAGAUGUUACCCUUGACCUCAGCCUCGAUGACAACAAUCGGGAGCAAUGGAGGCACUAGGCACCCACAUGCUGAUGCAAUGAUGCAGACCUAGACCAGUGGAGGUGUGGAGCAGCGGGGGCACACAGCGCAGUCAUUAGAUUUUCUUCCUUUUUUUUUGUUAUAUAUGAAAAAAUUAUAGCUUUGAUUCAUUUUACUGAUUUUGUGUUUUGUGGAUUUAUUUUGUUAUUAAGUUGCCAAGUGAAAUUGAUUACUGUGCUUGUAUCAUGCUUUCAAAUAACGGCCAUUACGUUAUUUAUAGAUUUUGGAAAAGCCCGUUACAGAUACACCGUUAUUUACAAGCAAAUCUAGAGUUGCAACUGCAAUGGCCGUUACUUUAAUUAUUCCUCUGCUGCAAUCACAUGGAAACAAUGUUAUUUUACUUCUCUUUUCU